AUUCACCUGAAUCGUGUAUGAUCACCUGCUGAACUUAAGCAUAUCAGUAAGCAGAGGAGAAGAAACAAACAUGGAUUCCCUGAGUAACUGCGAGUGAAACGGGAAGGGCCCAGCGCUUAAGGUGUAUGCUCGUUUGAGUGUUCACCGGUGUAGCGUAUAGAAUGUUCGUUCGUGAGUUGGCGAUUGGUCUAAAUUUCGCUGGAAAGCGGUGGCUGAGAUGGUUUUACCCCAGUAUGACUGAUUGUUGCUCGCGAGUGUUCGUUCUUGGAGUCGGGUUG
rnacentral:rRNA from 1 species